rnacentral:rRNA from 1 species
AACGCGAAGAACCUUACCAAGGCUUGACAUAUAGAGGAAAAGUGCAGAAAUGCACUCCCCGCAAGGUCUCUAUACAGGUGGUGCAUGGUUGUCGUCAGCUCGUGUCGUGAGAUGUUGGGUUAAGUCCCGCAACGAGCGCAACCCUCGUCCUAUGUUGCCAGCACGUCAAGGUGGGAACUCAUGGGAGACUGCCGGGGUCAACUCGGAGGAAGGUGGGGAUGACGUCAAAUCAUCAUGCCCCUUAUGUCUAGGGCUGCACGCAUGCUACAAUGGCCGGUACAAAGGGCUGCGAUACCGCGAGGUGGAGCGAAUCCCAUAAAGCCGGUCUCAGUUCGGAUUGGGGUCUGCAACUCGACCCCAUGAAGUCGGAGUCGCUAGUAAUCGCAGAUCAGCAACGCUGCGGUGAAUACGUUCCCGGGUCUUGACACACCG